rfam:Schistosoma haematobium scaffold325_42, whole genome shotgun sequence.
AUCCAGCAGACGAAUCCCAAAUAGGACGAAUCACGCGUCAAACUGUAU